rnacentral:ncRNA from 1 species
ACGCGACAAGGGCAAACGGAGGGGAAACCCCCGGACGCAAAGCUACGAGGCUAACGCGCGAUCCGUCGCGCCACGCUCGUCGGGCCGCCGAA